rnacentral:rRNA from 1 species
AUACGAAGGGAGCUAGCGUUGUUCGGAAUUACUGGGCGUAAAGCGCACGUAGGUGGAUUGGUCAGUUGAGGGUGAAAUCCCAGGGCUCAACCCUGGAACUGCCUUCAAUACUGACAGUCUUGAGGUCGAGAGAGGUGAGUGGAAUUCCGAGUGUAGAGGUGAAAUUCGUAGAUAUUCGGAGGAACACCAGUGGCGAAGGCGGCUCACUGGCUCGAUUCUGACGCUGAGGUGCGAAAGCGUGGGGAGCAAACAGGAUUAGAUACCCCAGUAGUCC